AAGUGUUAGGAUUGAAUCUUUCCCGCUUCUCACAUACUCACAGCCAUUUUUCCCAGGACACAGGUCUUGUUCAUGCUCUAGCGCUUUUCCUUCUCCUGCGCUCUCGCUGACCAUUCCCAUCGUCGUUGGUGGUUCUCGGUGACGGAUUCCUUUCUUCCUCUGGCGCUCUCGCACUCUGCUGUGGUGGUGAUCUUUUAUUGCUAGUAAAAGUUUAUCCCUCGCCUUCGAUGACCAAUGCUCGUCCCUCACCUUGAAACCCUCACUCUCUUAGCAUAGAAGAAUACGCCCAAUCCGUGACUUAUUAUUAAAUGUGUGUUGAAUAGGGCUCCGAUGAAGGUUUCAACCGAUGCAAUCCACAUUGAUUCCAAGAAGGUGAAAGACGCUGUGGUGGUUCGGAACGAGUCGGUGUUGAAAUUGUGGUUGAAAUGGCUGUUCGUAUUUGAUCGUUAGUUAUCGAAGAACAACUGAGAUGUAGCAACAGAAAUUGAAACCCAAAAUGGUGCAGAAUUUCAUGGAGGAACAACCUCUGACACAGAAAUGUGGUCGCAACCUGCAACUACUUCAACGCAAAUUGCUCACCGCCACCAGAACCAUCCACCACGACGCCGCUGAAUCACUCAAGGAGAUUAUAGAUAUUCUUUUCAAAUGCGUGACAAAAAGAUCUCGGGUUCUGUGAAGGAAAACCUGUUGCAGCAUUUACCCUUUACGAUUGUCUGCUACAUCGGAAAUCUUUUGAAGCAGAAAAAACAAGGAUAUUUGAUCGUCUUAUUCAGAUUAUUGGUUCUGAAAUAGAGGAUCCAGACAAAAAAUGAUUCUAUGGCUUAUUGGCUAUCCAACACAUCUUUGUUUUUCCAUCUUCAUUGAUGUUUAAGAGUACCUACAGCGCGGAAACCGCCCUCUCCGACAUCAUUUUUUGGGAGGAUGGCCCAAGUAUCAAGUUUCUUUAUUGCCAUGUCUUGAGCAUAAGCUCCAUAUUGGGUCAUUCUGAAGAUUAAUAUUCUAUUUGCAGAUAUGAUUGUUUAGGUGUUAUAUAUUAUAAGCUGGUAUGAAAUUAAUUAGACUGUCUAGUGCUUUCAAAUGUAUAACCAAUAAUGAAGGUUGUCAAUAGGAUAUGGUUGUCUCCUUAUUGCCUGUAACAUGCUAUAUGAGUACACUUAGCUCUGUAGCAUGUAAGUGUCUAAUGUUCAAUACUAAUAAAGGCCAAAGAAAAUGAAAAAUAAACUAUGCAAGAAUUGCUACCCAAAAUCAGUAAAAUCUCAAUUAUAUUUCUAUUACACACCUUGUUCUAUGCUAACAACUCUUUUUUAUGAAAAAAGUAAUAAAUUAUUUCUUGGUCUGAUUUUUGUCCCAAAUAAGAGGCAUAAAAGAUUAUGCUUGUGCUAUAGUAGCAUCCAUACACAUUGUUAUUUUCAUUUUAAUUAGACCUAAAUAUUGUAACUAUUGAUUAUAGAGAUAAUUCCAUUAAACUCACUAUAUGGAAUUUGAUGUUUCUCAGGGUUUUCGAUCAUCUAAUAGGCUUUCCAGCAGUGCUUUUGAUGUAGUGCAUCAGGUUGGUGCCAAGUAUACUGCUCUGCUUUUCAAGCAAUAGCUUGCAGCUUACAUGGAAAAGAUAUAUGGAAUUGUUCGAGAAAAUUUUAGGACAAAUUUGACACUUCUGCUUUCUUCUUGCAUUAAGGCAGAUAGAGAAUCAAAUGACACCAGCCAACAAGCAGGUUCUUGGGUCAGCAUUAUGGAGUGCCUUAAUAAAUAUCUAGAGAUUAUGAAAGAAAACUAUGUAUGUGAAGGUUUAACAGUACAGUGAAUUGGUAUAUGUACAACCCUUGCCUUCCAAGUACUUUUUAAUGUUAUAGAGCAAAGUGAUUUUAAGUUUUGCCCCAGGUGCCUACUGUUCUAGUUCACAAGCUAUUUAAUCAAAAUUUUCAAUACAUCAAUGUCUUGUUUCAUUCAACCCUUUUACAGUAAUGGACUAAUUAUAGGCAUUGCAUCUAGGUUGACUUGAGAAUUGGGAAUGCUAUGUUCUCCAGCAUUCUUUUGCAAGGAGAGUGUUGCACGUUCAAAGAUGGAGAAUAUGUAAAAUCAGGUUUGGCUGAGCUAGAAGGAUGGUGUACUGAAGCAACGAAAGAGUACAUUAGCUCAUCUUUGGAUGAAUUCAAACAUGCAACACAAGGAGUUAAAUUCUUGGUUGCAGAAUAGAAUGGAAGUUGUGUAGAUAGUUAUUUUGAAGUUUCAAAUAGUAGUUUAGUGUUGUUUUCAGUUUUAGCCUAUUCUAGUCUAGUCUAAUUGAAGUUUUAGGUUCUUGAUAGUAAAUUUUUGACCAAGGAGUUUUGAAGGAAGUUUGAAAGUGGUGUGUUUCGUUUCUUUUAAAUGUUUAUAAAAGAUUAUCUUAGGUAUUUUAUGAGUUUUUAUGUAAAUAUUAAAUGUAUAGUCAUUCAGUUUAGAAUUGUAUUAUAUCUCAUAUAAAUAUUAGAUUGUAUUUUAUCUGAACAUCAGAU